AAGGUUCUAGUAAAAUGUCAAUAACAUUAGCUUGUCAAGCUAAAGUUGCGGGUUAAAGCCCCGCGUACCUUA
rnacentral:tRNA from 1 species